UCUAAGUAUAACCUGCCAGACAGGGAAACUGCGUACGGCUCAUUACACCAGCCUUAAUUUACUUGACCUUGACAACCUACUUGGAUAACUGUGGUAAUUCUAGAGCUAAUACAUGCACCAAAGCUCCGAUCCUCGCGGAGAGGAGCGCAUUUGUUCGCCACAAAACCAAGCGCCCAUCUGGGCGUCCAGUGCUGAACCAGAACAACUCAGCUGAUCGCACGGUCUUGUACCGGCGACGUGUCUUUCAAGUGUCUGCCUUAUCAACUUUCGAUGGUAGUGUACCUGACUACCAUGGUUGUGACGGGUAACGGAGGAUAAGGGUUCGACUCCGGAGAAGGGGCCUGAGAAAUGGCCACUACGUCUAAGGAUGGCAGCAGGCGCGCAAAUUACCCACUCUCAACGCGAGGAGGUAGUGACGAGAA
rnacentral:rRNA from 1 species